rnacentral:rRNA from 1 species
AACGAACGCUGGCGGCAGGCUUAACACAUGCAAGUCGAACGCCCCUUCGGGGGAGUGGCAGACGGGUGAGUAACGCGUGGGAAUUUACCCAGCUCUACGGAACAACUCAGGGAAACUUGAGCUAAUACCGUAUACGCCCUUUUGGGGAAAGAUUUAUCGGAGUUGGAUGAGCCCGCGUUUGAUUAGCUAGUUGGUGGGGUAAAGGCCUACCAAGGCGACGAUCAAUAGCUGGUCUGAGAGGAUGAUCAGCCACACUGGGACUGAGACACGGCCCAGACUCCUACGGGAGGCAGCAGUGGGGAAUAUUGGACAAUGGGCGCAAGCCUGAUCCAGCCAUGCCGCGUGAGUGAUGAAGGCCCUAGGGUUGUAAAGCUCUUUCAACGGUGAAGAUAAUGACGGUAACCGUAGAAGAAGCCCCGGCUAACUUCGUG